rnacentral:rRNA from 1 species
AACGCGGCUCUCUGGUCUGUAACUGACGCUGAGGCUCGAAAGCGUGGGGAGCAAACAGGAUUAGAUACCUGGUAGUCCACGCGGUAAACGAUGAGUGCUAAGUGUUGGAGGGUUUCCGCCCUUCAGUGCUGCAGCUAACGCAUUAAGCACUCCGCCUGGGGAGUACGUCCGCAAGGUUGAAACUCAAAGGAAUUGACGGGGGCCCGCACAAGCGGUGGAGCAUGUGGUUUAAUUCGAAGCAACGCGAAGAACCUUACCAGGUCUUGACAUCCUUUGACCACUCUAGAGAUAGAGCUUCCCCUUCGGGGGCAAAGUGACAGGUGGUGCAUGGUUGUCGUCAGCUCGUGUCGUGAGAUGUUGGGUUAAGUCCCGCAACGAGCGCAACCCUUAUUGUUAGUUGCCAUCAUUCAGUUGGGCACUCUAGCAAGACUGCCGGGUGACAAACCGGAGGAAGGUGGGGAUGACGUCAAAUCAUCAUGCCCCUUAUGACCUGGGCUACACACGUGCUACAAUGGGAAGUACAACGAGUUGCGAAGUCGCGAGGUUAAGCCAAUCUCUUAAAGCUUCUCUCAGUUCGGAUUGCAGGCUGCAACUCGCCUGCAUGAAGCCGGAAUCGCUAGUAAUCGCGGAUCAGCACGCCGCGGUGAAUACGUUCCCGGGCCUUGUACACACCGCCCGUCACACCACGAGAGUUUGUAACACCCGAAGUCGGUGAGGUAACCUUUUUGGAGCCA